UGAUUUAUUUUCUAAAACGCUAAAAUGAGAGAAAUGAGUAUUUGAACUGUAUUUUAGGGUUGAAAAGUGUAGGUGGGUUGUAUAUAAUUUAUUUUAUUUUUUGUUUAAUUUAUUGGGUUGUAUUUAAUUUAUUUUUUAUUACUAUGGGUUGUAUUUAAUUUAUUGGGCUGUAUUUAUUUAAUUGGGCUGAAUUUCUUAGGUAGUAUUUAUUUAAUAUCAUUGUAUUUAAUUUAUUGGUUGUAUUUACUUAAUAUCAUUGUAUUUAAUUUAUUGGGCUAUAUUUGAUGUAUUUAAUAUAUUUCCCUAAUUUAUUUAAGAAUGAUUCUAUUUAUAGUCCAAUUUUUACUCACUAUAGCCC
rnacentral:lncRNA from 1 species